AAUUAAUAAUAAUGAUUAUUAAUUAUUUGGACAUAUAGAAGUCAGUGGAAUAUUUCAAUAUAAUAAGGUGGUUAAAAAUAAGCUACAUACACCACCGUGAAAUAAAGUGAAUUGAAAUUGUUCAAACUCAUAUGAAAAUCAUUGUUAGUUUUUCUUAGUUUAAUUUCUUAUAAAGCUUAUAUAAUUUGAUGUUCGUACAGGUUACGUAAGCUAAGGAUGGGACUCAUAUGAUGACAAAAAAAAAAGGAUGGGACUCAUAUAAUAAGGAAUGUUACAGUGUUGAUAUUGCAGGAGAAUUAUUUAUGCUUGUUCCUUUAUUUAAUAAUAUGUAAUUGUUUGAGUUAUUAAUAAUAUGUUUCUUUCUUUUGUAGUUUGUUUGAGUUAUUUUAGGAAAACAAUUAAUAUGUGGAAAAGACAAUCAUUUUUAGUGUAAGAUUAAUUUAAUUCUCAAUGGCAUUUGACUGUAAAUAUUGUGUAACUUUUAGGGUUAUUUUUUAUGGGUACUUCUCUUUUAAUAAUAGAGAUUGUUGUGGGUUUUUAGCACUGUGCGCGGACCCCACCAACACGUGACGGCCCGCGAUUAGUAUACUUUUUAAUUUUUUUUUUUAAAUCAGACAAAAUAAAAUAAAAUAAAAAUUAGAAAACCCACUAAGUGUUUUAGGGAUAAACAUGGUCUUAGUGCCCUCUAACUAAAGAAAGAACCAACUUCCAGCAACCAAACUAGAGUUACACGGGGCCUGUCUUUCUUCUCUAUUUUCACUUUAGGUUUUCAAAAUUAAUGGAGCCCAUCUUUUUUCUAUCUGUUCACUUCACUUUUUCAAAAUCAACUUUCAAACCCUAAUCCCUUAUUUCAUCUUUUCUCUCAGCCACGAAACCCAUCUCUCUCGAAAAGUCUCCUAAUUUCUCGUUUGCGGCCUGCCUUAGAGGAGUGGAAGAUACCGACAAUCUCUUUUGGAACUCUAAUUACCAAAUUCCCAAAUUGAUAAAACCUAAUCAACGCUUCUUUUAUUCUCUUCUUCUCUCUUAAUCCCAAAUUCGCUUUACUUCAGAGAAUGGAUGAGCUUGGAACUCGCCGUGGGUGAGCUCGAGAUCGGAUGUGGUUGAGUUCGGGAUUUGCUGUGGCUGGAGUUUCAGAGAGUAGAUGAGCUCAAAGGUUGUUAUCUCCAUUUUUAUUUGUCCACACAACCUUGAUGACAGUUGUGGCAACGAAGCUGUUUUCUCUGUCGUUGUCUUGUCCAAUGGAUGAUUUCAAGAGAUGUAGUAAUCAAAGGGUGGAGACGAGACUGUGUGACGAAACGUAACAAAUUCUUCCAUGUCACCGCCAUGGUUGUGGAGCCCCUCAAUGCUGCGAUUCAGAUUCACCAAUGGUGGGAACAAAACCCUAGUUCAUUGCUGAUAAUGGUGAAGAGCCAGCAACUUGUGGUGGUUACUCGUUGGCUAGCUACUAACAUCAUUGGGUUUUGUUCAUUUUUCAGUUCCAGAUCUGUGGUCUCUUAUCCAACGCCCCAUUAAAUCAAAGAUAGUGAGGAAGACCUUUGUUGUCAGCGAAGGAUAAGGCGUCAAGAAGGAGCCAAAGCAAAUUGCUGGAGAGAUUAUCUCUUUACAAGGAAGAACUUUAACAUCACUGAUCGUAGAGAAAAAAACAUGCAAGCUCAUUCAGAAGAAACUUUAUAGUUUUUUUUUUAGUCAUUCUUGGGUUCACCCCUAGGGUGAUUCACCAACCAAUAGGAUUUUAUUAUUUCAAAUUUGAUAUCUUUUAAAAAUAGAAACAAAAUAUUCUCAAAUUAUAUUAUGUUUUUAAAA